rnacentral:rRNA from 1 species
GACGAACGCUGGCGGCACGCUUAACACAUGCAAGUCGAACGAGAGAAGAGAAGCUUGCUUUUCUGAUCUAGUGGCGGACGGGUGAGUAACACGCGAGCAAUCUGCCUUUCAGAGGGGGAUACCGAUUGGAAACGAUCGUUAAUACCGCAUAACAUAAUUGAACCGCAUGAUUUGAUUAUCAAAGAUUUAUCGCUGAAAGAUGAGCUCGCGUCUGAUUAGCUAGUUGGUAAGGUAACGGCUUACCAAGGCGACGAUCAGUAGCCGGACUGAGAGGUUGAUCGGCCACAUUGGGACUGAGACACGGCCCAGACUCCUACGGGAGGCAGCAGUGGGGAAUAUUGCACAAUGGAGGAAACUCUGAUGCAGCGAGGCCGCGUGAGGGAAGAAGGUUUUAGGAUUGUAAACCUCUGUCUUCAGGGACGAAAAAAGACGGUACCUGAGGAGGAAGCUCCGGCUAACUACGUG